rnacentral:rRNA from 1 species
AGUGAACGCUGGCGGUAGGCCUAACACAUGCAAGUCGAACGGCAGCACAGUAAGAGCUUGCUCUUACGGGUGGCGAGUGGCGGACGGGUGAGGAAUACAUCGGAAUCUACUUUUUCGUGGGGGAUAACGUAGGUAAACUUACGCUAAUACCGCAUACGACCUACGGGUGAAAGCAGGGGAUCUUCGGACCUUGCGCGAUUGAAUGAGCCGAUGUCGGAUUAGCUAGUUGGCGGGGUAAAGGCCCACCAAGGCGACGAUCCGUAGCUGGUCUGAGAGGAUGAUCAGCCACACUGGAACUGAGACACGGUCCUGACUCCUACGGGAGGCAGAAGUGGGGAAUAGUGGACAAUGGGGGCAAGCCUGAUCCAGCCAUACCGCGUGGGUGAAGAAGGCCUUCGGGUUGUAAAGCCCUUUUGUUGGGAAAGAAAAGCAGCAGGUUAAUACCCCGCUGUUCUGACGGUACCCAAAGAAUAAGCACCGGCUAACUUCGUG